rnacentral:tRNA from 1 species
GCUUUCGUGGUGUAUUGGUCAGCACUCUGGGCCCGUAUUCCAGAGGUCCGUGGUUCGAAUCCCGGUGAAGACU